AAGAGUGAGGAGGAUGCCUGCUGGGAGCACAGAGAGGUCAAGAGGAUGCCGGCCGGUGCUGCUGGUGGGCCCGGGUCGAGCGCCCCGCUGGACCCUGAUGCCCCUCCUGCUGGUGCUGCUGCUGGCGGGCCGGGGGGGUGUGGAGGCAUGCCCGGCACCAUGCAGCUGUCUGGGGAACACGGUGGACUGCCACAGCCUCGGGAUCCACGCUGUGCCCAAGAACAUUCCCAGAGGAACAGAGAGGCUGGACCUGAACGGGAACAACCUGACCAUCAUCACCAAGUCAGACCUGUCCGGGCUCAAACACCUGAGAGUUCUUCACCUGAUGGAGAAUCAGAUAAGGGAGGUGGAGCGAGGAGCUCUGGAUGAGUUGAAGGAUCUGGAGCGACUUCGCCUCAACAAGAAUCGCCUUACACAAAUCCCGGAACUUCUGUUUCAGAAGAAUGAAGCCUUGUCACGACUCGACCUGAGCGAGAACUCCAUCCAGGCGAUUCCCAGGAGAGCCUUCAGAGGAGCCGCAGACCUCAAAAACCUUCAGCUGGACAAGAACCACAUCAGCUGCAUUGAGGAGGGAGCGUUCCGAGCCCUGCGCUCUCUGGAAGUACUGACGCUGAACAACAACAACAUCAGCAGCAUACCCGUCUCCAGUUUCAACCACAUGCCCAAACUUCGCACAUUUCGCUUGCACUCCAACUCCCUUCGCUGUGACUGUCACCUGGCCUGGUUGUCUCCGUGGCUGCGUCAGCGUCCAGCGUUGGGCCUCUACACUCAAUGCAGCUCUCCCCCUGCCCUCAGGGGUCUCAACCUGGCCGAGCUGCGUAAGGGCGACCUGGCCUGCUCAGGCCACGGCGGCAGCGCCUUCGUGCAGCCAUGCAGCCUGGCGUCCGGCUCUUGUCCACCCAUGUGCUCCUGCAGCAACAACAUUGUGGACUGCAGGGGGCGGGGCCUCACCGCUAUCCCCGCCCACCUCCCAGAGGCCAUGACAGAGAUCCGUCUGGAGCAGAACGGCAUCAAAUCCGUCCCUCCAGGCGCCUUCACCUACUACAAGAAGCUCCGUCGAAUAGACCUGAGUAACAACCAAAUAUCUGAGAUGGCUCCUGAUGCUUUUCACGGCCUCAGAGCUCUCAACUCACUGGUAUUGUAUGGCAAUAAGAUAACUGAGCUUCCCACCGGCGUGUUUGACGGUCUCGCCUCUCUGGAGCUGCUGCUGUUGAACGCCAACAAGAUCCACUGCAUCAGGGCAUCGGUGUUCAAAGAUCUGGAGAACUUGGCGCUGCUGUCGUUGUACGACAACAAGAUCCAAAGUUUGGCCAAAGGAACCUUCAACUCGCUGCACAGCAUCCAGACGCUCCACCUGGCCCAGAACCCCUUUGUGUGCGACUGUAAUGUCAAGUGGCUCUCCGACUUUCUGCGCUCUAAUCCCAUCGAGACCAGCGGGGCGCGCUGUGCAAGCCCUCGCCGCCUCGCCAACAAACGCAUUGCACAGAUCAAAAGUAGCAAGUUCCGAUGCUCAGCCAAGGAGCAGUACCAUAUCCCAGGUGCUGAGGAACGCCGUCUGAGCUCGGAGUGUAACAGCAAGCCUGUGUGUCCCAACAAGUGUCGCUGCGAGGCUAACGUGGUCGACUGCUCCAACCUGAGACUCACCACGUUCCCCGAACAACUGCCCCCCUCCACAGAGGAACUACGUCUCAACAACAACGACCUCUCCGUGCUGGAGGCCACCGGCGUCUUCAAGGGCCUGUCGCAGCUCAAGAAAAUUAAUCUGAGCAACAACAAGAUCUCGGAGAUCGAGGACAGAGCGUUUGACGGCGCCUCGUCGGUGACGGAGCUCCAUCUGACUGCCAAUCACCUCGAGUCGGUCCGAGGAAACAUGUUCCGUGGAAUGGAGGGACUCCGCAUGCUGAUGUUGAGGAACAACAAGAUCAGCUGUCUCCACAACGGCAGCUUCACAGGCUUGACCAACGUGCGUCUGUUGUCUCUCUACGACAACCAGCUGAGUGCCAUCUUGCCCGGGACCUUUGACACGCUGCCCAACCUCUCCACUCUGAACCUCCUGGCCAAUCCUUUCAACUGCGACUGCCGUCUCUCCUGGUUUGGGGCGUGGCUUCGUAGCCGGCGAAUCGUGACCGGCAAUCCUCGCUGCCAUGGCCCCGCCUUCCUGCGGGAGAUCCCUCUGCAGGACGUGGCCGUGCUGGACUUCCGAUGCGAGGACGGUUCUGUUCUGGAGGACAUCAGCUGCUCUCCAGGCCCGCAGUGUCCCAGUCAGUGCACGUGCAUGGACACGGUGGUGCGCUGCAGCAACAAACACCUGCAGGCUCUACCCAGAGGACUGCCCCGCAACCUCACCGAACUCUACCUGGACGGGAACCAGCUGACUCGGGUCCCCAAGGAGCUCGCCACCUUCAAGAACCUGCAGCUUAUAGAUUUGAGCAACAACCAAAUCAGCUCGCUGGCCGACGACUCUUUCGCCAACAUGAGCCAGCUCACCACCCUGAUCCUCAGUUACAACUCUUUACGUUGCAUUCCUCCACUGGCGUUGGGUGGCCUGCACUCUCUCAGGCUGCUCUCUCUCCAUGGCAACGACAUCUCGGAGCUGCAGCACGGCAUCUUCAGCGAUGUGGCCUCCCUGUCUCACCUAGCAAUCGGCGCCAACCCUCUCUACUGCGACUGCCGCCUGCUUUGGCUGUCCGACUGGGUCAAGAGUGGCUACAAGGAGCCCGGAAUCGCCCGCUGUGCCGGCCCGCCCGGCAUGGAGGGGAAACUGCUCCUCACCACGCCACCCGACCUCUUCCAGUGUCUGGGUCCCGUGGAGGCCAGCGUCCAGGCCAAAUGCAGCCCAUGUGUGUCCUCACCCUGUCAGAACCAGGGCCUCUGCCAAGACCAGCACACACAGUCCUACACAUGUACAUGCAAGGCUGGAUUCACGGGCAAACACUGUGAGACUCCAGUGGAUGCCUGUGUCAGUAAUCCUUGCACCAAUGGAGGAAGCUGUCUCAGUGACGAGCAGACCAGCGGCUUCAGUUGUGCAUGUGCUUUUGGGUUUCACGGCACUUUCUGCGAGGUCAACGUGGACGACUGUCAGGACCACGGCUGUGAGAAUGACGCCACCUGUGUGGACGGCGUGGGCAACUACACUUGCCUGUGUCCCCCCAACCGCACGGGUUUGUUCUGUGAGGAAGAGGAUGUCUGCGCCCCUGCUAGGAACCCCUGUCAGCAUCAGUCCACCUGCAUCAGCACUGCUACUGGACCCAGGUGUGUGUGCAUCCCGGGCUGGGUGGGGCCAGACUGCAGCAUAGACUACAACGAGUGUGUGGAUCAUCGCUGUCAGAACGGAGCGCAGUGUGUCGACCACCUGGACGGAUACACAUGUCUGUGUCCUCAGGGAUACAGCGGUGAUUUCUGCCAGCUGGCCACGCCUCCUCCGUCGCCCUGCCAGCUGACACGCUGCCAGAACGGUGCCCCCUGUGAGGAGAAGAUGGGCGUGGCGGUCUGCCAGUGUCUGCCGGGCUUCGAGGGUCCCAGCUGUGAGAAGCUGGUCAGCGUCAACUUUGUCAACAGAGACUCUUACGUCCAACUGCAGGACGUCAAGAACUGGCCUCAAGCCAACAUCACACUGCAGGUGUCCACAGCAGAGGACAACGGCGUCUUGCUGUACAACGGAGACAAUGAGCCCAUCGCCGUGGAGCUGCAUCAAGGUCAUGUGAGGGUCACCUACGAUCCCGGGAACCAGCCCACCACCGCCAUCUACAGCACGGAGACGGUCAACGACGGCCGCUUCCACACCGUAGAGCUGGUGACCUUCAACCGCAUGGUCAACUUGUCCGUGGAUGGCGGAGAGCCCACCACGCUGGACAGUCAGGGGCGGAGCCAGGCGGCCAUGGCGGAGGCCCCCCUCUAUGUGGGAGGUAUGCCUGAGGAGGUGAUUCCUGCCUCCCUGUCUCUGUCCUCGCCCAGCGCCAACAUGUCCAGCUUCCACGGAUGCAUCCGUAACCUUUACAUCAACCACGAACUGCAGGACUUCACCCGCGGGCACAUGAAGGCGGGCGUGGUGCCGGGCUGCCACGCCUGCAGGAAGCUCUUCUGCCUGCACGGCGUCUGCCAGCCCAACGAACCGCAGGGACCUCAGUGUCUCUGCCAGUCUGGUUGGAGCGGUCCAAACUGUGACCAGCCAAUCACAGAAGGCCUGAGUGGAGCAGUGGGCGUGGCCUCCGCAGCAGCUGAAGUGGGUCCAUGUGACGGCAGCAAGUGUGUGAACGGAGCGUGUGUGGCGUUGGACGCGCAGACGUACCGCUGCGCCUGUAAGGACGGAUACCGCGGGGCGCUCUGCAACCUGCAGGGAGAGCCGGAGGUGCCUUGUCAGGGGCUGAAGUGUGUGCACGGACGCUGCCAGAAGGACGAGGACGGACAACGUUGUGUCUGUGAGGACGGCUUCACCGGAGACACCUGCGACACAGAGUCGUCGUGCCGAGGCGAUGCGGUCAGGGAUUACCACCGGCUGCAGCGCGGCACCGUCCUUUGCCAGACGUCCAAGCCUUUCUCCUGGGUGGAGUGCCAGGGCCGCUGCCAGGCGGGGGGCGGGCUGGGGGCCUCCUCCUCCUGCUGCGCUCCUCUGAGGGUCCGACGCCGGCGGCUCACCUUUCAAUGUGAUGACGGCAGCUCUUUGACGCAGGACGUAGAGAAGCCUGUGGAGUGCGGAUGCAAGCAGUGUGUGUAGUACUGCACACACACACACACACACACACCUACACACACACACAUUCUUUGGUUUGUGUUUUUGAGACAUGAAAGCAACAAGUCCAUCUCACUGUUGUCCACUUCCUCCCAAUAAUCAGCUCAGUGAGUCACUCAUACACACACACGCACACACACACACACACACACACACACACACACCAGCGUGUGAGGAAUGCAACAGAACCUCCAAAGUGGUUGACUUCCAAGUCCAAACGCUUUUUCAUAUACAUAGAAAAUCAUGUCCAUCAUAAAAGCUUUGUCAACGUUUUAAGCCACAUUUGAACAUUCUCAACGGUCAUACAAGUGUAAAAAGAAGUUACACUUUAUAGAACAAAACUAGACGCCUGACAGACACGUGACAGAGAAGGAUGGACACGCUAAUCGUCGGCCAUGUAUGCUAUCGCUACUUGUGUUAGUUCAUUUAUAAUUGAUAUUUAAUGACUAGUAUCGCUCAUAUUGUGCUGAGCAGCCAGACCGAGUUCCAUUCAUUCCCUGGUCUAUGGUUGUCGUCACACGUUCCCGCUUUAUCAACACUAGUACCUCCUCACAGAAAAGGCAAAACACGUUUAGAUGCUCACUGAGCUGCCGUCACACACAAAGAUGUUUAAACUGUUUUGUUUGACUUUUGAAGCUGAUUUUUUGGUUGAACUGUAAAACGUGUCACUUUUUUGCACGUUCCACUUUGGAGGUUAUGGAAGCCCCUUUCCGCCAGCCAUAAUAAUGAGAUAAAAAGCUCCAAAUUACCAGAUCAAAAGUCCUAAUUAUGAGCUAAAAACUCAAAAUUUGAGAUAAAAAGGCAGAAUUAUGACAUAGGAUUGUCAUAAUUCUGAACUAGGAGAUUACAAAUCAUAAUUAUGAGCUAAAAACUCCAAAUUUGAGCUAUAAAAUCAAAAUUAUGAGAUAAAAAGUCAUAAUUAUGAGCAAAAAAAUCUAAAUUUGACAUAAAAAGGCGUAAUUAUGAGAUAAGAAGUCGUAAUUAUGAGAUUAUAAAGCAGGAUUAUAGGAUAGGAGUAUCAUAAUUAAAACAUGAAAAAUCAGAAUUACGACCUUAAAAACUCCAAAUGUGAGCUAUAAAGUCAAAAUUACGAGAUAAAAAGUCAUAAUUAUGAGCUAAAAACUUUUUGAGAUUUGAGAUAAAAAAAGGCAUAAAUAUGAGAGAAAAAGUCAAAAUUAUGUGAGAAAAACUCAACAUUUGAGAUAAAAAGGAAGAAUUAUAAGAUAGGAGCGUCAUAAUUAUUAGAUAAAAAGUCGAAAUGACAACAUUAAAAGUCAGAACUAUGACACAAAGUCGAAAUUAUGCGUUUAAAAGUAAUAAUUAUGAGAUAAUCAAGUCAUACUUCUGAGAUGCAAAUGUUGAGAUACAAACAUGCCGCCUUCUUCCUUGAAGCCUUUGUCACAUGAUUAAUCACUUUUAACGUUGACGUUUUAUCUCAUAAUUAUGGGAUAUUUUCUUUCUGUCAGUGACGGAAACGGGCUUACAUUGGGGGUUCCACUCCCCCCCCCCAAAAAAAAAAGAAAAAUGAAAGCACCAUUUCUCAGUGCCCUCUAGUGGUGUAAAUGAAAAUAACUUGCAGACAUUUUUUGUAGCCGAGCGUUGAUGUGCGCCACCUGCUGGAUUUCAAGGCCAAAUAAAAAGCCAGCAUGUGUACCAAUGUGUACCAAUGUGUACCAGUGUGUACCAAUGUGUACCAAUGUGUACCAAUGUGUACCAAUGUGUACCAGUGUGUACCAAUGUGUACCAAUGUGUACCAAUGUGUACCAGUGUGUACCAAUGUGUACCAAUGUGUACCAAUGUGUACCAAUGUGUACCAGUGUGUACCAAUGUGUACCAAUGUGUACCAGUGUGUACCAAUGUGUACCAAUGUGUACCAAUCAAACGCCUCCUCUGUGACGUGAGAGGAGUCAGUGAAGGCAUCACGUGUAGCUUUAAAGACAUGAUCGUAUUUAUAUGGAUGUAAAAUAACUCUAUUAAAAUGUUACAUUUUUGUUUGUUUUAGGAGCUAACGUAGCUUUUUAACACCCAGUGAGAGGCUGUAAUAUAAAUAUUAUAUGAUGAUUAGUAUUUUUGUAUGUUGACUGUAGUGCUUCUUUUUAAUUUAUUUCAACAAAUAAAAUCUUCUUCCUUUCUGCCGCUGACCUUUGACCUCAUUGUGUGAUGGCUUGUGGAGCCGGCGGGGAGGAGGAAGUGGGUGGAGUCUGAGGCCAGAGAUGUCCUGUUGGGAAAAGGGGGGGUGGUGGUCUGAGGCACUUUAAUGAAACAGUGAUUCACGCGUCCCCCUCUGACCAUAAAAGAUAAUAUACACCCCCUAAUGGCUGGGGCACAAUCGCACCCCCACCUUCCCGCACACACACAUGCACAAAGACUGGAGUGAACGCGCACACCCCUCCACCUCCACCUCUGCAUCCCAAACAUGUCCCCCUCCCCCUUCCCACAUCCUGACUUUAAAGGAGGAUAAAAUCAUCCCCCCCAUUGCAGUAAAGCCUCAGCAUCUUCUGAGGAUGUGCUGCACACAAAGGAUGAAAAGACACCUUCUCACUGCAGCCUAAAGACCAAAAAAACACACGAAGCCAAAAAUAUUACUGAUGCAAUCAUUCUCAAAUCAGAUAUUUUGAGGGGGGAAAAAAAGAUUCAAUCAAUUUCCAAAUAAAAAUUGUAAGAUAAAAGUCUCCAUUAAGACUCAACCGAUGGUGUUCGAAGUGCAGCCCACAGCUCAUUUUUUUAUUGUAUCAAAUUAAUCCCAGCCUGUUUAGAACCUGACCAAGGAGAUGCAACCCCUGGCAAAAACUCUCAGAGGAUAUUCAUUCAAUAUUUUGUAGAAAAAAAAAAGCAGAUCACGGACACGACACAAAGCUAAAAUCACUUCAAAUGAGAAAGAAACACUAAAAGAAGUUAAGGAAAUAAAUUGGUGGUCAGUAACAGUUACUUUUUAUAUUUAUUAUGCAAUCACCCUGUACAUUUUCCUUCCCCAAACUAACACCUGCAUCAGAUAAGCAGUUAAGAAGGAGUGCUCACACCUUGGAGAGCUGUUGCACCAAGUGGACUGACUUGAAUCGGAGAUGUCACUUGAAACACAGGAGAGGAUCAUCAAACUUGUUAAAGAAGUGAGAUUUACGAAGACGACUGGCGGAAGAAAACAUGCACAUUUCGGCAGUCAUUGAUGAUACGGGGCUGCAUGUCAGAGAUGGCUGUCAUGACAUCUUCAAUAAAUGCACAAGUUUAUGUUGACAUUCUGGACACUUUUCUUAUGCCAUCAUUUGAAGGGAUGUUUGGGGAUGAUGAAAUCAUUUUUCAAGAUGAUAACGCAUCUUGACAUGGAGCAAAAAAAGACACGUAAGAGCAAGGUCAUGGCCUGCAAAUAGUCCGGAUCUCAAUCCAAUUGAAAAUCAGUGGUGGAAGUUGAAGAAAAUGGUCCAUGACGAGGCUCCGACCUGCAAAGCUGAUCUAGCAGCAAUCAGAGACUGAUGGAGCCAGACUGACGAAGAGCGCUGCUUGUCACUCAUUUAGAAGUCAAUGCCUCAGCGACAGCAAGCUGUUAUGACAGCCAGAGGUGGUGCAACAAAGUACGAGUGGUGUGUUGAAGUCUUCUUUUGUUUGUUUGUUUUUCAUGGUGCCAUCGUUUUUUCCUCAGAAUUGAGUGAUUCCAUCAUUUUUUCCCUCUGCUUGGUAACUGUUACUGACUACCACAAUUUAUUUUCUUAAUUUCUUUCAGUGUUUCUUAAAGCCAGAAAUCUGCCAUUUGAAAUAACUUUAGCUUUGUGUUGUGUCUGUGAUCUGCUUUUUUUCUACAAAAUGAAACAACUGAAUGAACAUCCUCCAAGCUUGGUGAUUCCAUCAGUGAUUGCCGGGGGUUUUUGCCACAAGGGUUUGCUAUGUAAGAACAAUUAUGAAAUAUUUUUUUAGGAAUUAGAAUUCCACAUGAAGCCACUUUUUAAAGACAGCAGACUGUAUUGACGGUACAUUACAGUUAUACUUGCUGUCUACUGACUACAGUGCAUUUUUAUUUAUUGAAAUUGUAGACUGAAAAACUUUGUCUACUAUUAUAAAUGACUUUUGGAAAAAAUGUAUUGUUUCUC